rnacentral:rRNA from 1 species
CUACGGGAUGCUGCAGUGAGGGAUAUUGCACAAUGGGGGGAACCCUGAUGCAGCAACGCCGCGUGGAGGAUGACGCAUUUCGGUGUGUAAACUCCUUUUAUAUGUCAAGAAAAUGACGGUAGCAUAUGAAUAAGCGCCGGCUAACUCCGUGCCAGCAGCCGCGGUAAUACGGAGGGCGCAAGCGUUACUCGGAAUCACUGGGCGUAAAGGACGCGUAGGCGGGUUGAAAAGUCAGGUGUGAAAGCCUACAGCUUAACUGUAGAACUGCACUUGAAACUCUCAAUCUAGAGUAUGGGAGGGGCAGAUGGAAUUAGUGGUGUAGGGGUAAGAUCCGUAGAUAUCACUAGGAAUACCUAAAGCGAAGGCGAUCUGCUGGAACAUUACUGACGCUAAGGCGUGAAAGCGUGGGGAGCAAACAGGAUUAGAUACCCCGGUAGUC